rnacentral:lncRNA from 1 species
UUUUCUGUCCGAGACUUCCUCCGCACGCUGCCUCUCCCCUUCGUGUCUUUGGUCUCUCUCUCUCUCGAUUUCUUCCAUUCUGUUUUUCUGUUUUGCUUUCAUUCUCUGCUCUUUCCCUUGCAAACCUCAUUGAACUCCAUCAUCCAUCGAGAUUUCUCUCUGCCGCGAGUCUUCUCCACGUCCGCCCAUCUCCAUUGAGUUUUGUCCCCCACGAGUCAACGUUCAACACUUCUCAACUUCGGUCUCUCCUUCGCCCGCACGAAUUCAGCCGACCGAAGCCAGCUCGCCACCUCAACCGGUCUUCCUUCUUGUUAUCAACGCCAGCUGCACGAAGUCAGCAGCAAGAAGCCCAGCCCAGCUCGAUCUCCGCGGCAUCUUCUCCCCUCUCGAGGUCAGCCGAGCAAGCUCUUGUUUGACCGCCCCAAGAGACCGAAGCCGUCCACGUUCCCUGCCCCUCCUCGUGUCUUCCGUGUGUGCAGUCAAUCGAAGCAGCUCACACGCAGCAGCUUCUUCAAUGUCCCCCGAAGAUCCAGCGAAGCCACGCUUCUUCGUCUUCAGCAACUUUCAUCAACCGCUUGCGAGAAACCCAGCCGCAAGUCAGCCCAAGCCAGCAAACUUCGGGCCCAGCAAAGCCCAUCUUCGGGCUUUCUUGUGUAGCCCACCAAGCAGCCCAACUUCCUCAACAACAGCUCAAGCCCAGCCUAAGAAGCAGCCCAUCAAUUGAGUUCUUGAGGCCGCGAAGCAAGCCCAACCCAGCUGCAACCUAAGCCCAAGAUCAAGCCCAGCACUUAUUGUGGGCUUGCAAGGCUUUUGGGCCCAGUCCAAGUGUUUGUCAACGUCGCCGAAAAUUUGGAUUUCAGUCGCCGUCGUUUUGUCGUCGAGGUGAACCGGUUUCCGCUUUUAAUCAAAUGAGUUUUGAUCACUAAUCCCUUAUUAGUAUGCUAAUGAUUCAUAGUGAUUGAUUAGAUUUAUUUAAGUGCAAUUAGGUGGAUAGAUUAAAUUAGAGUAAUGACAUUAGAGACUUAUCAAUGCAUGUUAGGCAAAUGGUUGAUGUAGUUAGCAAGAAAAUAAGUCAUAGUAUUUACUAAGCGAGUCUUGGUAAUUUUUCGAGCUUGUCUCGGCUUCCAAUUAGGCAUUAUAGGCCUAAAUUAGAUUUAUUGUAUUUAUUUAAUAAUUUUCGGAGUUAUUUAAUUAAUUAUUUAUUUUCCGAAAAUUAGGCAGGGAUAGCCAACAACCGGAAUUUUAUGCCGAUUGUUGUGGUGUAGUCCAUUUAUUUAUUUGAGUGUUGAUUUGUGUUGAAUUAAUUAUGAUUUUGAGGAUUUUAUUCCUAAAUUAAUUAAUUUUGGUAAUUAAUGGGAAAAUUAUCAGGCGUUGGUUUACAGCGCCAAAAAUAUGUAAUUGGCUGUUGAAACUAGUGAGAUAUUUGAAAAAGUGAAAUUAUGAUAUUUUAGUUAAGGCUGAUCGUGUACCCCCAUACGGUUAUUUUUAUCAAGAAUGAUAAAAAGAUAGAAUUGGUUGUAUGAUUAGGAUGAUAUACCAUAUCGACCUACGGGCUUUGAUAUGAUAGCUUAGUAGAGAGCAGUAUACUUUGUCAACUUAGCAGAGAGUAAUGUCGAUAUACUAUAUCAGCCUACAGGCAAUAUGACAGCUUAGUAAAGAGCAGUAUACCUUGUUAGCUUAGCAGAGAGCAAUGUCAGUAUACCAUAUCAACCUAAGAGCGAUACGGCAGCUUAGUAGAGAGUAAUAUACCUUAUUAGCUUAGAUUGAACAUUAUUGAUAUACUAUAUCAGCCUACGGGUGAUAUGGCAGUUUAGUAGAGAACAGUAUACCUGAUCAUCUCAGAAGCGAGCUAUACUAUCUAUUUAUCAGCUUAGUAGUGAGCAGUUCUAAUAUAAACGGACUUAUAGAUAGUAUGAGAUGAGCCGACUAAGAAAUGGUCGAAAUGACAUGUAAUCGACUAAAUCGAUUGAUCGAUAAUUCAAUCUGAUUGAUAUAAUGUGAUGUGAUCGUGUAUAUUUGAUAUAUAUAAUGACUUGUAGGAAGGAACUGAGGCUAAGGUAAGUCCUCUAACUUGUAUUGUGCUUAAGCAGCCUCUAAAGUGUAUUGGCUUCCUAAUCGGGUCUUAGGGGGUAGAACUCGCUAAGAUAUUAUCUUACUGGUUAUUAAAUAACCAUUUUCAAGUCCUUAGUUGGCAUGGGUGAAGGACCGGAGGCCUGAAGUGUAGAAGAUGAAGCUUGAAGAAUUGACGAUCCUAUUAGACUAGCUAGUCAUAGGACAAGCCUCUUUUAAUGGAAGUUGAUUCAUUUUUGCAAACUUCGUUUUAGGAACUUG